CAGUAGCCGCGGUAAUACGGAGGGGGCUAGCGUUAUUCGGAAUUACUGGGCGUAAAGCGCACGUAGGCGGCUUCGCAAGUCAGAGGUGAAAGCCUGGGGCUCAACUCCAGAAUUGCCUUUGAGACUGCGUCGCUCGAAUCCGGGAGAGGUGAGUGGAAUUCCGAGUGUAGAGGUGAAAUUCGUAGAUAUUCGGAAGAACACCAGUGGCGAAGGCGGCUCACUGGACCGGUAUUGACGCUGAGGUGCGAAAGCGUGGGGAGCAAACAGGAUUAGAUACCCCUGUAGUCCCUGUCUCUUAUAC
rnacentral:rRNA from 1 species